GCAUAGUAUUACAUAUAUUGACAAUAAUCAAAAAUCGGGGAACAGCAGUCAAUACAGACAGUGUUAGAAUUUUAAAUACCAUAAAAACGGGAUAAAUAAGUGUAUAAAAACAAAAAAAAAAAAAAUAAUUAGACAAGACAUCAUUAACCAAAAAAAAAAAAAAUUAAAAACAAGAAUACAAAAAUAUGAUUAACAAUAACACAACAGGACACUGGCGGGAUGUAUAAAUAUCGAGCCCCGCAAAAACGAUAUUACUAAAAAUGGAAUAAACAAUAUGUAUGGCAAGCCGUUUUACUAUUUAUUAUAACUUCAGGA
rnacentral:lncRNA from 1 species